AACUCUUGGCCUUGGUAAUUAAUGUGAAUAUUUUGAAUGCUGAUUUUCAUGAGAGAUUUUUGUGUCAGAUACAAACGUGUAUGCCAAAGUGAACGUUUGGCAAGCACAUCACAAGCUCAUUGUCUUGAUCCACAACUAAAACUUUUCUUUUUUUAAUGUAGCUAGCUAUGAAAAUGCUGACGGUUUAACAAACUCGAUCAGCAAGUUUCUUUAUGAAAGCUGUUCCAUGACUGUACUAGGUACACGAGACUUUGCAUUCUCAUACCACCGUUCAAAAGUUGGCUGGUACAAUUUUUUUUAAAUGCGUUGUUUCUUAUGUUUACCUGGACUGCAUUUGGUCAACAUUUGAACAGUAAUGUUGUAAAAAAAAAAAAAAAAAAAAUUAUUAUUUUAUUUAUA